GAUGAACGCUGGCGGCGUGCCUAAUACAUGCAAGUCGAGCGGUAACAGGCUCUCACAGUUUGCUUAAGUUCUUUGGUCUUCGGACCUUAGAUGACGAAACCAUCCCGAACGGCCGGCUAGCCGGAAAGGAUGGCAGAGUUUAUUGAGCAGAGUGUGAGAGUGCUGACGAGCGGCGGACGGCUGAGUAACGCGUAGGAACGUACCCAAGUAG
rnacentral:rRNA from 1 species